UGAGGUCAUAGUGAAAGUGAAGCCAGAAAGGAGCUCUACAGCCAGAGUACUGAAGAAUUUGAAUACUAGGCUAGUGUAGUUUAUUUAAUAUCAUUGGAAGUUUUUGUUAUUGUACUUAAUAUGGGAGUGAUUCGUUUGAAAUGCCACUUAGCACACCCUCUUCAGCUAACAUAGGAUAUGAGCUUCAAUUCCAGAAACUCUUUGGCAUUCACCAAUGCAAUCAAGGCAUCAGUUGUCAGAGCAGGCCAUUUGUGCAGCCAACAUCAAAUUAUCCAGUACUCGCUAUGUUCCAGGCACUCUGCUUUGCUUUCAUUGCCUUGUCCUCCAGGAGCUCACAGUCCACUGGGGAAGAGAAGCAGUUAGCAAAGCAUUCUAAUACAAUGUGGAAAGUCGACAAUAGAGAGAGGAAUAAAGCGUCUUGGCUACAUUAAGAAGGGAAUACUAACCCUGCCUGAGGGAGCCUAGAAGGACUUCACUGAGGAAAUAACAUAUGCAUUAAUCCUUGAAGAAUGAGCAAUAAGUAGCCUACCAAAAAAAAAGAUUUUAUGCAUGGAGAGAGAAACACCAAAAUUAUGAAAAUGCAAGAGAGAAUAGCAUGUCUGGAGACUAAUACAAUGAUAUCACAGUGACCAAGGGAAAAGACAUCUUUAAGAAGGAGAAAGCAAUAAAUAACUUUAAAGACCAAGGAAGACCUACAAACUUCAUCACAUGGUGAUGUGAAUAGUGAAAGAGAUUAUAGGAUUCUUCAGACUUCUGAUAGUGCCCAGAUUACUUCCAUUUCUAUAUCAUUUCCUCGGCUCCAGGUCCAUUUUCAUACACAUCAAACACUAGACUCGUGCCAACAAGUAAGAGGACAAGGAAAAAGAACACAAGCAGUCAAGAGCAUGCCAUCGUUACCACCUAUGUCACACCACAGGUGUACCUGCUAUAUGGGUGACAGCCGCUGACUUCUCUGAUCAACACAUAAUUAUCUCUGAAUAAAAAUGCACGUUGAAGUUAGCUGGACAUAAUGGAUUGAAGACCCAGGGCAAAAUUAUCUUUAUCAUGGUCAAUAUGCGGACUGGGCAACAUCAGUGGCAUAAUAGUGGUGGUAAAUGGGAGUAAUUGUAUCCAAUUGUACGGCACAGCUUCCAGGAAUGAGCCCGAACUGCCAACUGACAAUGACAGAGCAAUUAUGGGAAGGCAAGCGAGCUGUGUCAAAUUAGCACUUGCUCAAGUACAUCAGAAACAAUAUAUUUACCUUCAGCUGUUGUUUCACAGCAUCAUAGCACUUUACCAUCGCCCUAUAAAAGGCAGAAGGAUAAGAAAGAAAAUAUCAGAGUUGCAGUACUGAGUACUGAAAUUGUAAUUCACAUCCUUAGAUACUCAUCAGUUUGACUGAGUUGUCAGAACCAUGAAGAGAUAAGUAUUAUAGCAAAUAUUUCAGAACUAUGUAGAUUAAUAGAAUUUUCCAUUCAUGUUGUCUUUUCUCCCUGGGGAUAUAUCAUGAAAUCAGUGUUUGUAAAGUAAUCCUUUGGCUUUCAAUAUAACCUUAAGAAAAAAAUAUAUUUUCUGAUUCAUUAGGUUCUGGAGUGCAAUA
rnacentral:lncRNA from 1 species